GAAAUGCGAUAAGUAAUGUGAAUUGCAGAAUUCAGUGAAUAAUCGAAUCUUUGAACGCACCUUGCGCUCCUUGGUAUUCCGAGGAGCAUGCCUGUUUGAGUGUCAUGGAAUUCUCAACUCUAUUUGCUUUUGUGAAUAGAGCUUGGAUUUGGAGGUUUAUUGCUGGUACUUGUGAUCGGCUCCUCUUGAAUGCAUUAGCUCGAACCUUUGCGGAUCAGCUAUCGGUGUGAUAAUUGUCUACGCCGUUGCAGUGAAGCAUAUCAAUGGGCUCGGCUUCCAAUCGUCCUUUACUGGACAAUGACUUUGACCUUUGACCUCAAAUCAGGUAGGAUUACCCGCUGAACUUAAGC
rnacentral:misc_RNA from 1 species